rnacentral:lncRNA from 1 species
CCAAAAGGACUCUUCGGAUCGCCCCGAUUUGAAAAGACUCUAGCACGCGCGCAUUAAAUGCCAGGAUUUUCGAGGAUGGUCGUGCGCAGGAUUCGAGAGGGCAACUUCGGCUGUAAAAAUUUUUCUGUACUUCCUUCAUUCGAAAUUCAAACUUAAAAGAAGGGGGACUGGUGUUGGGUAUAAAAUACCCCCCAGCCGAAGUUCAAGUUAGGAGUGACCCUCCAGGGAUUCUACCGACGUCUGACCUUCGACGGCAUCUUUCCGAACCUCUCCGACGGCCGAGCCUCCGUGACAUUCCCAAGUUCUGCCAACGGAUAAACUCCCACC